CCAUCUGGAAGAAUCUGGAGACAGGUGCUGCAUGGCUGUCGUCAGCUCGUGUCGUCGAGAUGUUGGGUUAAGUCCCGCAACGAGCGCAACCCUUGCCUUUAGUUGCCAGCAGUUCGGCUGGGCACUCUAAAGGGACUGCCGGUGUUAAACCGGAGGAAGGUGGGGAUGACGUCAAGUCCUCAUGGCCUUUAUGACCAGGGCUACACACGUACUACAAUGGCCGAUACAAAGGGCAGCGACACUGCGAGGUGAAGCCAAUCCCGUAAAAUCGGUCUCAGUCCGGAUUGGAGUCUGCAACUCGACUCCAUGAAGUUGGAAUCGCUAGUAAUCGUGGAUCAGCAUGCCACGGUGAAUACGUUCCCGGGCCUU
rnacentral:rRNA from 1 species